GUGGGAAUAGCUCAGUGGUAGAGUGCAUGCUUAGCAUGCAUAAGGUCCUGGGUUCAAUCCCCAGUACCUCCA
rnacentral:tRNA from 1 species